rnacentral:other from 1 species
UGUCUCCUGGGAUGUUUGCCAGUUCAUUCAUGUCCCUGGCCGAUGCUACUUAAAAGGAAGUUGACUUUGUGACUAUUGCGCAGGCUCGGCGCGUACCGAGAAGCCUACGGUCAUGACGAUUCUUCCACCGUGUCCUUUUCGGCACACGGGCGAACGAUGGACAGCGGCAUUUUGGGAGACAC